UUAAAUGAAUUGACGGGGAGCACCACGAACGGGUGGAGCUUGCGGUUUAAUUGGAUUCAACGCCGGAAAUCUUACCGGGACCGACAGCAAUAUGAAGGCCAGGCUGAAGACUUUGCCGGAUUAGCUGAGAGGUGGUGCAUGGCCGUCGUCAGUUCGUACUGUGAAGCAUCCUGUUAAGUCAGGCAACGAGCGAGACCCACGCCCACAGCUGCCAGCGUACUCUCUGGAGUGACGGGUACACUGUGGGACCGCCGCUGCUAAAGCGGAGGAAGGAAUGGGCAACGGUAGGUCAGUAUGCCCCGAAUAUCCCGGGCUACACGCGAGCUACAAUGGUUGGUACAAUGGGUAUCUACCCCGAAAGGGGACGGGAAUCUCCUAAAACCAAUCUUAAUUCGGAUUGAGGGCUGCAACUCGCCCUCAUGAAGCUGGAAUCCGUAGUAAUCGCGUUUCAACAGAACGCGGUGAAUACGUCCCUGCUCCUU
rnacentral:rRNA from 1 species